CUAAAUAAAAGUAGCAUAACUUAUACAACCAGCAUCAGCAACACCGUUCAUUCUGCGCAAACAAUCACAACAACACAACUAACUAAUUAGCAAGAUGAGAUCAAACAACGAUAUGCGUUCAUCCUCGUCGACCUUGUCGGCGGCACCAAGUUUGACCAUGAGCAAGCCUAGCUUGAACAACAGCAAGGCAAGCCUCACUCACAGUCGGCAGAGCAUAACGGAGUCGAACAAAGAGCCGGGGCCACCUACGCGGGAAGAGAAGAUUGCAGAAUUCCUGGACAAGGCCAAGUUCUACACUUCACUUUGUUUAGGGACAACCGCCAUCCUGUCUGUAUUUGCCUUUCUGUUCCUGAUUCCGUUUGUCGUGGAUCCGGCCAUAUCUACCAUAGUGGCCGAUUACGACCCAGUGCCUGUGACGUGCGUGGUGACGGACCACGUUUACUCCGAGGGCAGGAGAAAUUGCACCUGGAGCUCGUGCCGAGAAGGUUGCACCACGGAGGCCAUCCGGUGUCACCAGUUGCUUGUCAACUACACCAAAAUUGCAUAUCACGAAUGGCAAAAGCAGCCCCGCGACCUCGACAACGUAGAGUGGGACGUAAUGGACACCAAGUUCCUCGUCAACACCGAGGGAUGUGGCUAUCCGCCGCGGGUCAACUGUACCGAGUUUGCAAAGAAAUACGGGUACUCGCACGUGGGAAAACCGUUCCCGUGCUAUUUCAGCCGUGCCUAUCCGGAAAUGGUGGUGGCUCGCUAUUCGUGGGAUGACAAUCUGAAACACCUGAUCCUUUCACUGAUCAUACCGAAUGUGCUCUUUGCCGUCUCGAUCGGAGUGCUCAGCUAUUGGUACUGUCCCUGCUGUGAUAAGGCCUGCCACAAAUCGCCGCGAGUGUACGCAGAAAAGUAUCCUACUAAGGAAAAUGACCAAUGAACAAAACCAAACAUAUCACGCCACCAGCAUUUGCCAAUAUUCUCUGUGUCAUUGUGCGCCCUUCUGUUACAAUCCUACCAAAAUGCUAUCAAAUUUGAACACCCUCAGAAGCUCAAAAUAUUCCUCUCUGAUGCGCAAAAGACCAGAUCUAUCUCUUGAUGUGCGUGCGCAAAACAAUAAAGGAUCUUGGAACAUUGAAUACUCCCAAGAUUACAUAAGUAAAAUUUGAGACCAACUGACACAACCCCGAGCAUCGUCACCAGCGCACCACCAGCAAUCAACGAGAUUCGUCGAACAAGACAUCGUCAUCACGUAUUUGUUUAUCAACGGCCAACACAGUUGCACCGGUUGAGGAAUGCCAUCAUAGUUGUUCUCAUUUCCACGCCGGUCAGUCUUUGUAAGAGGAAAAUAUAUUUCAAAUCGCAACUUAGAUAGAUCAAGACAAACCAAAGUCAAGAGAAAUAAAUUCAAAAUAUUUAUAUUUUUAAUGUCAGCUAACAUUUUUAAACAUCGUGAACACUAAACCAAGUGCAAAAUUGUUAAGUGCUUCAAAGUUAAAUAUUUUCGAUUCGCGUUUUAGUAUGUGGUGGAGAGAGUAACACUAUCUAAUCGCAUUAUCAAAUCUUGAGAGGAUACAGAUCUUUAAUGAAUAAACAACUAAUAGCAAACGCAAUACUGUCACGCUUUAACACUUAAAGUUCAUUCUCUAUCAAUAGUGAUAAUACGAUGGUGAAAAAUAAAACAAAACUCCGCACAUGAAA